ACACCCAUAUCAUGUUGAAACACCAGUUCUCAUCUGAUUACUGAAGUUAAGCAAGGUAGAACCUGGUCAGUACCUAGAUAGGUGACUGCUCAGGAAUACCAGGUACAGUA